GUUGGCGUGUAAUGGCAUGUUGGAUCCCUGCUCGGGCAGCGACAAUGUGCUUUCCCGCCUCUUCAGUUGGUUGGUCAAGUGCGUUUUAGCCUUGGCCAAUUCUCGGUUUCCUGUGUUGGAUACCAACUAAGUUGGCAUUUGUCGGUUGUAAUGUCCAUUUUCCGCCUUGUGCUGUGCCUCUUGGGGCUGUGGUGCGGGGUGGACAUCAAGGCACUUGCUGUGUUCCACUUCUUGGUCAUGCCUUUGUGUGUUCGGGUUGUUGGCCCAUGGCGAUGUGUUUGAUCUCUCGGGUUCGGAAAUUAGAGUGGGCACGGGGUCUUUGGCCUCUAUCUGCCACGAAUCAAAGCGUUCUUCGCUCCCUUCGGAUGACGACCGUUGCCGUCCAUGUGCAAGUCCCUUCGGGCUAGGUUCAUGCGGCACCGGCGUCAAUGAGGAAUGCUACCUGGUUGAUCCUGCCAG
rnacentral:misc_RNA from 1 species